AUUAUUGACAGCAAGGAACUCCAAUAUGACCAAGAAAGUGGAUUUCAUUUCUUGGAUGCUUUUCCAAAGAAUGUGGAUGUGGGAACAUAUGUGUUUGUUUUUGAGAUUGUGCUUCAUGAUUGUGGCAGUGAAAAUGUUUAUGCAAUCGGAGGCCAAAUUCAUGUACCAAUUUUUGUCACUGGAAUUAUUGAAGUUGGCAAUGCAGAAAUAUCAGUUCUAAACAGUAAUAUUGGAAGUAAUGAA